rnacentral:rRNA from 1 species
UGGGGAAUUUUGCGCAAUGGGGGCAACCCUGACGCAGCAACGCCGCGUGCGGGACGACGGCCUUCGGGUUGUAAACCGCUUUCAGCAGGGAAGAAAUUCGACGGUACCUGCAGAAGAAGCCCCGGCUAACUACGUGCCAGCAGCCGCGGUAAUACGUAGGGAGCGAGCGUUAUCCGGAUUCAUUGGGCGUAAAGAGCGCGUAGGCGGCCUCUCAAGCGGGAUCUCUAAUCCGAGGGCUCAACCCCCGGCCGGAUCCCGAACUGGGGGGCUCGAGUUCGGUAGAGGCAGGCGGAAUUCCCGGUGUAGCGGUGGAAUGCGCAGAUAUCGGGAAGAACACCGAUGGCGAAGGCAGCCUGCUGGGCCGCAACUGACGCUGAGGCGCGAAAGCUAGGGGAGCGAACAGG